AUCUUUUUGUAGUUCAUAAUAAGAGUGAUGAUUGGGUCUUCAUGCACAUGUGUGAAAUGCACCUCCCUCAAACUUUGUUAUGAUUGGCAUAUUGCCCAUCUGAUG